rnacentral:snRNA from 1 species
GGAUGUGAGGGCAAUCUGGCUGUAACACCUGUCACCCCAUUGAUUGCCAAGGUUGAUUGGGCUCAUCUGGCAAACUCGGUGGGUGUCCCCUUCCUCCCUCACUGCUCCAUGAGCUUCCCUCCUGAAGCUGUGCACUCAGCAGAAGAGGAAGACCAUCCCUGAUGGAGGAGGACUGUUCUGCAAG